AACGAACGCUGGCGGCAUGCCUAACACAUGCAAGUCGAACGAGACCUUCGGGUCUAUGGGCGCCCGGGUGCGUAACGCGUGGGAACCUGCCCUUAGGUUCGGAAUAACUCCCCGAAAGGGGUGCUAAUACCGGAUAAUGUCUUCGGACCAAAGAUUUAUCGCCUUUGGAUGGGCCCGCGUUGGAUUAGCUAGUUGGUAGGGUAAAAGCCUACCAAGGCGACGAUCCAUAGCUGGUCUGAGAGGAUGAUCAGCCACACUGGGACUGAGACACGGCCCAGACUCCUACGGGAGGCAGCAGUGGGGAAUAUUGGACAAUGGGCGAAAGACUGAUCCAGCACUGCCGCGUGAGUGAUGAAGGCCUUAGGGUUGUAAAGCUCUUUUACCCGGGAUGAUAAUGACAGUACCGGGAGAAUAAGCUCCGGCUAACUCCGUG
rnacentral:rRNA from 1 species